AAGCCUAAUAUAGUCCAAAUUGUCUCAGUGACUGCUACCCCUUUAUCUUCUUUCUCCCAAAAUCUCUUAAACCGUAAAAAGUUAUGAUAAAACACUGAUCUUCUUCUACAUACAUGAGCCUCACACGCUACCCUGGUAUUCUUCCUUCACACACGUUUCCUACUAUCUCUCUCAAAAGGUUUUAUACUUCUCCAUUUCUCUUUCCAAACAACAACAAAUUGAUUCUUCCAACAAUCUUCUGCUCUCAAUUUUGCAAGUUCUCAAGUUCGCAAUGGCAAGACCUUUCGAGAAGCUGAAGGACAUCAAUGAGAGUAAGGAAUUAUGGAAAAUUUCCGUCAGAAUUCAUCACAGGUGGACAAUUUUAUUAAAGACCAAUGAGCACUUCGAUUUGAUUCUGGUUGAUAAAGAGGUUUGCCUUUUGGUUUCGAUUUUUUUCUUGUGUUUCAUGUUAAUGUUUCGUUGUUACAAAUCUUAAAUUGGUUUUGGUUUAGUGUUUUGUAUUCAUAUUGUUUUUCUGGUUUCGUGUUAACCUGGAUUUUCAUUUUAGGGUUUGUUUGUUAAAAAACUGAAAUUGAAAGUGUUUCAUUUUAGGGUUGGUUUGGGUUCAUGUUAAACUGUGUUUUCUUUUUAGGGUUUAUUUGUUAAAAAACUGAAUUUUUCAGAUGUUUCAAUUUAGGGUUUCAUUGAUAAAUUUUAAUGGUUUACUUUUACAUCUUUAAAAAACUAUUAGAUGUUCUGAAUAUGUAUAAAACUGGUUUAGUUUAAAUUCUACUUUGUUUCGUUUUUGUAACUCUUAGACUAAAGACUCAUAUCAACAGAGUCUUUGGAAUGUCUGUUCUUCUUCAAAGUUUUAGACCUGAUAUUCAUCACCAUCAGUUGUUUCAAGGAGGUAGCGUAAAAGCAAUGUUUCAGCCGUGAUAGGGAAAUUUAUUUGCAGCUACUUCUGAUAAAAUGACAUCUAUUUGUAAUGUCCAAACUGACAAACAAAUUUACUCACUCCAGGUAAUUGUGAUGUUUCUCACUUUAAAAAAUUUCUGUUGAUUUUGUAAUUAAAUCAUUUGUCAUUGUAGGGUCGCCAUGAACCGAUAAAAAAUAUUUGUUGGGAUGCUACUGGAGAUAUAUCGGCAUCUGUUAGUCCAAAUUCAGUGUAUAUCUGAUAUUUGACAUAUGGAGAUGACAUUCAGAAGGUCAGCUCUUCUCGAAACCAGUUUUAUUCCAGUGUUUUUCAUCCAAAUAGUGCAUUCCAUAGAGUUAUGGAACAUGGCUGAGAAGGGCAUGAAAAUUUCUGCGCAUGUGAAAGUGAUAUCUCCAUUGGCUCAGUAUCUUGUCACUGGAAUGGUUGCCUCUGUGAGUCGCGACAACACUGUAAAGUUGUGGAAAUAAAUAUCAUACAUUUUAUGAUCUAAUAUCUCUCUUUCCCUUAUGCCUGUUGGACCUGUUCAUUAUGUUGGGUUUUUGAUCAUGAUAUCGAAUGACCCGUUGAUUGUGAUUUACAGGCGGUGAUAAAAUGGUUGCAUCCAUCACUUCUCGCUACCUAGCAACGACAAAAGCUACUGAACAAUGGGGAUCAAAAUUACAUUCUUUGUGUGUUAGAUUUGAGGGCUCACUUGAUCUUAAGGCCGCAAAAGAAAUUACAAAUUAUCUAGGAACUGAUCAUCAUGAGUUUACCUUUACUGUUCAGGUAAAAGCUUGAAAUUGAUGUUUGAUGGAUUCUUUAGUACUUGAAACUGAGAUUAUGAAAUGAAUAAUAUGUGGUGUUAUGUUAUGUUAUGUCAAAUAUAUGUAUUGAGGACUGCUACUGCCCUUAUAUUCCUACUGCUUUUAAACAAGAUUUUAUUUUGCAAUUUGAUUGAAAACAAUAACAUUAUUUUUCAGCUGGCUACUAACUUCUUAAAUGAAGGCAACCUUUCCAUAUUUUUAUGUAUCUGUCAACCAUUGUUCAUAUGUUGUCGGAGCUUUAUCGAUAUUUGCAAUUGAAGGUUGAUAAAGCUUAUAUUCACUACUAAAAUCUCGCACUGACAUCGUCUUGUGAGCCUGUUCUAGAGAUUGGUAAUGUUGGUAAUUCCUAACAUGUAAACUAGACCUUUUACUUGGAUAUAUCAUUUUGGUUAGAAUUAUGGAAAGAGCUAAAAAAACAAGAAAACCUCAUACUGAUCCAACAAUUUCAUCUCCUGGUUCAAAUCUUAAGGUAUCUUCAAUGGUCUAUGAGCAUCUUACUAGAUAUUGCAACAGUGUUGUUCUAAAUACUGCAAAGUGAAUCGGUCAGUAUUUUAGGUUCCGGUUCCUAAUGUGAAGUUUCGGGUUCCGGUUUACAAAUCUUACGCAAAUAAUUUCAUGCAAGUUUUGCUUAAUGAAUCUACAGUCUUGCAUUUUUUGAAAUUUGAAAUGACUGCCCCAACAAUUAAAUUCUUCCUGAAAAGAUGUGUACAUGCAGCUCAAGGGUUUCUUGUAUGAGCUUUAACUGACACGCUCAUAAAAUCUACCAUAAGAAGCAACUUGUAUCAUUAGCUACUGCUUCUUCAACACCAUAAAUGGUUAUGAGAAACCAAUUUCUAAACAUCCUUAGAAUUACUUAUUCUGUAUGUACAAUUUCAAAAAAGUUUGUGUUAACCAAGUUAACCAAAAUACACAAUGUACUUAUGCACAUUAUCAUAUAUGAAAUUUCACU